rnacentral:rRNA from 1 species
CGAGAGAAUUCCCAUGAACCUUAUCAUUUAGGGGAGGGAGAAGUCGUAACAAGGUUUCCGUAGGUGAACCUGCGGAAGGAUCAUUGUCGAUGCCUCAACCCGGAUAGACCCGUGCAUGUGUUUUUACGUCACACGGGGGUGGGCCGCUCUGCCUCGGCAGGUUCGGCCCCCCUCCGCUGGGGUGUUGACGGCCCGUGCCUCCGCACCCCGGCACAAAACAACAAACCCCGGCGCGGAAUGCGCCAAGGAAAUCACAAACGAACAGCGUGCCCCCUCGACCCGGAAGCGGUGUUCGACCGGGUGGCGUCGCGAAAAUCGAGUCCUAAAUGACUCUCGGCAACGGAUAUCUCGGCUCUUGCAUCGAUGAAGAACGUAGCGAAAUGCGAUACUUGGUGUGAAUUGCAGAAUCCCGUGAACCAUCGAGUCUUUGAACGCAAGUUGCGCCCGAAGCCAUCAGGCCGAGGGCACGCCUGCCUGGGUGUCACCAAUCGUCCCCCCGACCCACACGGCCUCCGGCCGCGAGCAGGGGUGCAUGCUGGCUUCCCGUGAGCGAUGCCUCGCGGUUGGCUGAAAUUGAUGUCCGUUCCGGUGCUCUGCGCCGUGACACUUGGUGGUUGAGUUCAGUCUCUAGGCCAGCCACGAGCGCGUGAUGCCGGAUAUGGACACGGUGGCCCGUGAGCGGUACCGACCGCCCAUGAUGCGACCUCAGGUCUGGCGGGGCUACCCGCUGAGUUUAAGCCUAUCAAUAAGCGAGAGGGGAAAUUUCGUA